GAUUAAACUUUGACCUAAACAAAUGUAUUAUUACAAGUGGAGGUGAAGUUAGGUAACACAGUCAUUUUAAUAUUCUCACACCAUUAUUUCUAACCUAAUUCUUUUUUUUUUCUUUUUGUCUCAAAUCAAAUCCCACUCCUAGACAAUUGCUAUCAUGCAAACAACAUUGUUGACCCAAAUCAGGAAUAAUAGGUAUGAGAUUUACUUUUAUCUUUGGGGCCAUUGACACUUUCUCAAAGAUAAUUAUCAUCAUUAAUAAAAAAUUAACACUUGGAUAAUCUUGUAUAAGAAGUUAAAACAUAAGUUUAAUUUUGAUUACGUGCAUGCUUAGCCAAGGUUUCCAAUGCUCAACUUUUCUCUCUCUAAAUUUUAUAUAGUACAAAAAGUGACUUUAAAUACCCAAAGUUUGAGAUCAAAAGGGGUGGAUGGAUGGUGUUGGCCAAAGGUAGACAUAACACUAAAGUACGUACGUCUGUGAUUGUGUAGAGGAAAAAAGCAGAGAGGCCCCCAUGAAGUGCAGAUUGACUAAAAAAGAGGAGGGGUUACAAUUCAACAAAUAUAGGCACCAGUCAAUCUUGCUGUUAUGGAUUUCCAGGCUUCUACACAACAUCAUUCUGGAUACAAUACAUCAAACUAAUUGUCGAUUUCCCCAGUUUUACUGCUCUAAUUGAGUAUUUAGAGUUUUACUUGUUAUAUUGCAACAGAUAGCACUUGCUAGUUCUUCAUGAGUAGAUGGGCUCAUCCCCUUAGUCUUUUCCUAAAAAAA